AAAUAACUAGUCUAAUUAAACUUAAGAUAAGUUAAUUGGGUUGAUUGAUUAUCUAAGCGAACUAUUGAAGUAAUCACUCAAAUAAUGUAUUUGAGGCUGACUUUCAGUUAUAUAAAAAUCUAGAUAAUAUGCUCUACGUCAAACUCAACUACCUUGACAUCAAUUUGUUAAUCAGUGAAGCUCAACACCUAUUAGAGGCCGAAUAACUAAGGUCUACGCAUAUUUAUAAAGAAAACAUUGAUUCCAGAUGGGUUUAUGCUAAGUAUAUAUCAUAACUUUUCACUAAGAGCAUCUCUAAUCCCCUUCUAUUUAGUAUUUAGAGAUAAAAUCACUACAACCAUCUCUAUUUUUUGCCUCUAAAAUAGAGAUUGCUAUUUUUUUCUCUUUUUUUAUAGAGGAAUAAAUAGCAUUCUUCUGUAUUUGGAGGUCUCUAUUUUAGAAAAAUACAUUGGAGCAAAACUCAUCUCUAUUAUAGAAUUUCUUUAUUUUAGAGGUAAAAAUAGGGGAAUAUAUUGGAAAUGGUCUACGCCUUCAUGUAGAGAAUCUGUCCGGCUUAACAGAAAAAUCCACCUCCAUAUCCGAAGCAGAAGGGAUAGCCGGCUCAUCCUCAAAUGUAGGAGGAACGACGCCCUUGAUGUUAGCCUCUGCCAAAACUACGGUCUUGUACUGAUCCAUCUCCUUGGCCAAAUUCCACUUGCCGGUUUAACGCCUGAGCCACUCUCUCAUUAGCUCCCAGCGAGCGGUAAUCCUCGCCCCAUUCACGGCCAUCACCAUCUCGUAC
rnacentral:lncRNA from 1 species